rnacentral:rRNA from 1 species
CGCCUGUUUAUCAAAAACAUGUCUUUUAGGUUUUAUUUAAAGUCUAACCUGCUCAAUGAAGUUUAAAUAGCCGCAGUAUAUUGACUGUGCAAAGGUAGCAUAAUAAUUAGUCUUUUAAUUGAGGUCUGGUAUGAAUGGUUAGACGAGGGAAUUUCUUUAUUUGGGGGAAGUUAAUUUAAUUUAUGUUUUUGGUUAAAAUACCAGGAUUUUUAAAAGGGACGAUAAGACCCUAUAGAUCUUUAUAAUAUUUUAUUAUUUAGGUUUUUUGUUGUAUUUUUUUAUUUAGUAUUUUUUUAUUUAGUUGGGGUGAUUAAUAAAAUUUUAAACUUUAUUUCUUUUUUACAAUUAUUUUUGGUUUUUUGAUCCUUAAAUUUAGAUUAUAAGAUUAAGAUACCUUAGGGAUAACAGCAUAAUUUACCUGGAGAGUUCUUAUUGAUAGGUUUGUUUGUGACCUCGAUGUUGGAUUAAAAUUUAUUUGUGGGGUAGUUUUUACAAUUCUAGGUCUGUUCGACUUUAAAAUUUUACAUGAUCUGAGUUCAGACCGG